AGUUUUCUGGAUGAUUUCUUUGACGGAUGCUCGGUUACCCCAGUAGUAAAAUGAAGAGGUAGAACUGGCAAUUCUGUGGUUCUUGGAUCAGCAUGAGAGCCAAGCUUCAGCACAGCUCAAAGUGGACAUGAGUCAAACUGGUGAUAAAUCUAUUUCAUACACUGCUUUUGCCCCAGGCAUGUGCUCCUAUGGAACCAGGCUGGGACAGGAGGAGUUCUUCAAGGCUCUCCUGGUGCAUGUCAGGAUGUCUGAAGUCUUGGGAAUAAAAGGUGACAACCAUGUUCUGGAAGCAUUUAUGACCAAAAAUAUGAAAUUCCGAUUGGGUUUGCCCAAAGUCCAUCAGACCCUUUCUUUGCUGCCAGCAGCAGCUUUGGGACCCAGCACAAAGCCCCUCUCGCUCUGGGGUUUGGUGCAGGAUGCAGCUCACAGAUCUGGGCAGACCCUUCAGCAGGGUGUUGUCUGA
rnacentral:lncRNA from 1 species